rnacentral:piRNA from 1 species
UGAUUAAAGGGUGCUGACUAAAAGAGUCAA